GGCGAACGGGUGAGUAACACGUGGGUGAUCUGCCCUGCACUUCGGGAUAAGCUUGGGAAACUGGGUCUAAUACCGGAUAGGAGCCAUCUUUAGUGUGGUGGUUGGAAAGUUUUUUCGGUGUAGGAUGAGCUCGCGGCCUAUCAGCUUGUUGGUGGGGUAAUGGCCUACCAAGGCGGCGACGGGUAGCCGGCCUGAGAGGGUGUACGGCCACAUUGGGACUGAGAUACGGCCCAG
rnacentral:rRNA from 1 species